rnacentral:rRNA from 1 species
AUUGAACGCUGGCGGCAGGCCUAACACAUGCGAGUCGAGCGGAUGAAGGGAGCUUGCUCCUGGAUUCAGCGGCGGACGGGUGAGUAAUGCCUAGGAAUCUGCCUGGUAGUGGGGGAUAACGUCCGGAAACGGGCGCUAAUACCGCAUACGUCCUGAGGGAGAAAGUGGGGGAUCUUCGGACCUCACGCUAUCAGAUGAGCCUAGGUCGGAUUAGCUAGUUGGUGGGGUAAAGGCCUACCAAGGCGACGAUCCGUAACUGGUCUGAGAGGAUGAUCAGUCACACUGGAACUGGGACACGGUCCAGACUCCUACGGGAGGCAGCAGUGGGGAAUAUUGGACAAUGGGCGAAAGCCUGAUCCAGCCAUGCCGCGUGUGUGAAGAAGGUCUUCGGAUUGUAAAGCACUUUAAGUUGGGAGGAAGGGCAGUAAGUUAAUACCUUGCUGUUUUGACGUUACCAACAGAAUAAGCACCGGCUAACUUCGUG